UUUUUGUAGCUUAUUCAGAUUUACUGACUUUAUGUAUAUUAUAUGUUAGACUUAUCUUAAUAUAACUUGAAAAUAUUUUUUAAUACAAGUUUUAUUUUAUCUUGGCUUUUGAGGUCAUGCUCUGGAGAUGACAUGGCUCUUUUCUUUUUGUUUCUCCUCCCCUCACAGUGACUGGAGUUUGGGGUCUUCUUGCACUUCGCCUUGCUGAGGAUCCGAUUUUACCUUUUAAUUAUCUCACAUAUGCUGUUCAGCUGCAGGUAUAUUAAAGCGUAAGCUACUGUUAAAUGUUAAUACCUCUGACCUAGUGCAUUUAGAUGCUGGAAUAUUAUGAUGCUUGGUUCUUGGAAGAAGCAUUAUUCCCACGCCAUAAAGUGCAUAAAUUGAAUUGUUAACUGUUAAUACCUCUGACCUAGUGCAUUUAGAUGCUGGAAUAUUAUGAUGCUUGGUUCUUGGAAGAAGCAUUAUUCCCACGCCAUAAAGUGCAUAAAUUGAAUACCUUUUUUAUGCAUCUCUCAUAUCUAUAUUGUGCUAAUUUCGUCCAUGAUAUUCAGUGUAUGCUUGGCCAGUGUGAUUGCUCUCGACCAAACUCACUUGAAUGCAUCUAUUUAUUUCUUAUAGAAGAAGAAAAAACACGAUUUCCUUUAUACUAUGUGAUUGGCUCUAAAAAAUGCAUGUUUUAUGAGGAUGAGGAGGUGAAUUCCUUUGAAGCCAGCAAUAGUUAUGCUUGCUCUACUCAAGAUCAUAAUCGAUAUUUAUUUUCAAUGAGCAUCACACAAGAUCUCUCCUUCUCCCUGACCUUCACUGGCAACACCCUUUCCUGCGGGUUAAUCCGUACUACUUUACAGGACUACACCCAUAUUCUGAGUGACUUAUUGGAAGGAGGCAUCUCUUUGCAUCCUAUUACUGCUGCCAUUCAAGAUCUAGCUGCUGCAGCUAUAGAAACUCUGGAAGAAGCAAAGGUCAAACAUCAAACUUUAAAUUUUAGAUAUACCUUUCCUGUGGGUUAAUCCGUACUACUUUACAGGACUACACCCAUAUUCUGAGUGACUUAUUGGAAGGAGGCAUCUCUUUACAUCCUAUUACUGCUGCCAUUCAAGAUCUAGCUGCUGCAGCUAUAGAAACUCUGGAAGAAGCAAAGGUCAAACAUCAAACUUUAAAUUUUAGAUAUAAAACGUUGUUGGACAAUUUUAGUCUGUUGAAGCCUUCUUUGUUUCUUCCAAAGUAGUUAUGAUCGGAUACCGAGCAUUGGGAAGUAACGGAGAAAAUUUGUGGAAUGAAAAGCUUAAAUAAUGGGGUCCUGGAAUGAAGUUUACCUUUAAUGCUACUUUUCUUCUAUUUGUAAUUUAUAAUCUUCACAAGUACUGGAAGUUUUAACAAGUUAGCUAUAGGAAGUUUUCCUCUGAACCUAGGUCCCUAUCUCCCUUAUACAUGGUAAUCUGUAGUAACAAAUCUUACAUAAACAGAUAUACUAUGUAGAACAUAGAGAGGAAACACGAAAGAGAUUCCUGAUAAUUGAAACUGAGCAAAAGAAAAGGAGAAACAACUAAUGAUGCCUUUGUUUUCUAUUACUUGGAUUGCUAUUAGUAUAAGUUUAUAACAUGAGAUGAUGUUCCAAAAUGUUCUCCAAAAAUCAAAGAUUCACUGGGUGAGUUUAGUAAAAGUAAGGGACAAGGGCCAAAGACUGCCACCUUUUCCUACUGGUUAUGCAUUUUAAAUUGUGUGGGAUUGACAUCUAAAUUUUUCAACACUAUUUUAUGUUUUGCUUGCUUCUUUGUUUUAGAUUUUAUUUUUUUAUUUUUAAUAUUACUCUUAUGCUGGUGAUUUCAUAUUCACUCUGGUUCUCCAUUUCUAUUCCUAAAC
rnacentral:lncRNA from 1 species